rnacentral:lncRNA from 1 species
CAUGUUGAGCCUCUCACGCCUUCCCCCCAUGACUCCAUCAGACGUUCAUGGUACAGUUGCACGAUAAUCCUAAUUACAGUUUACACUUCAUCUCAGAUCAUUCUAAGGGACUAAGCUGCUGCUUAAAGAGCAAAGGGAACCUAGUGUUUUACAGACGAUACACAGAACAGGUUUUUUGUUAGGGAGAAUGAUAUCAUUAGAAUGAUAUUUCUUUCUAAAAUAGAAAAUCUGGAGUUCCCGUUGCGGCUCAGAGGGUUAAGAACCUGCAUAGUAUCUGUGAGGAUGCAGGUUCAAUCCCUGGCCUCACUCAGUGGGUUAAGGAUCUGUGUUGCCACAAGCUGUGGCAUAGGUUGCAGAUGUGGCUGAUUCAACCCCUAGCCUGGGAACUUCCAUAGGCCACCAGUACAGCCGUAAAAAGGGGAAAAAAAGUACAGUAUCUUUUACAAGAUACUAUUGUAUAGGAUACCUAAAGUGAUUUAUGAGAACAGAAACUGAAGCAGUAGAAAAUUAUGUCUGUGUAUGUAUACAUACAUAUCUAUUCCUUUUAGUUAAGAAAAUGAAAUAAUUGUCAGUUCAAGUAAUAUUUUGACAAUAGGAGCAAUUCCAUUCAAUGGAUGGCCCUUGAGCAUGAACAGAUUCUCAUGAAUAAAGAGGUGCUCAGAACUGUAUUUAUCUUAAAAUGGAUUUGUUUUAGUGGGUAUUUUAAGGGAAGUAUAUAUUAAGUUAAAAGAGUAUUUUAAUAAGAAAGCUUUCUGGGGCUUUUUGUCAUUUAGCACCAAUCAUAUUUUAAUUGGCUUCCAUUUGUUGCUCUUGUGUUUUCAGAAGAGAGUGUACAUCUUCUGAAGUUAAAAAAAAAAAAAACAAAAAAAAAAAAAAAAAAAAAAAAAAAAAAGAAAGAAAGAUUGGAAAAUUCAGGUCCUUAUAGGAAGGGGAAAGGAAUAAAGAAUACUUUGGAGGCCUCCAACAAUAUCCACUCUACUUUCCAAUUAGCCCAAGCUCCUAAUGGUUAUGCACCUCCUGCCAUAGUCAUCUCUGGGUUCCCAGCAUGUAGCAUGGUGCUUGAUACAUGCAGAGCAGAUAAUGAAUAUGCAUUUGCUUAGCUGAAGAGAAUUGAGCUUGCCUGGAACUGAAAACACAUCUAUAUAGGGCCCACCUUUGUCCGUGCUCCCCACUUUAGCUCUGCAGAUUCCACCUCCAUGCUGCCUGCCUCCUACAGAUACUUCUCACCCUUCCACCGUAUGAAUUCUUCUGCCUAAAGUGGAUUCCCACUUCCCUUAUCCUAGGUUAUUUUCUCUCAGUCAAAAUUCAGCUUAAACCCCACUCACACCCACCCCGAGCCCCAAAAGAUCUUCCUUUUAGAGGCUCUCUAAGGCCUCCCUUACAAGUGGAAGAUUCUGUGAUAAAUGCACGGACAUAGCACUAGAAAUGAUGGAAACUUCAAAAGAGAAUGGUUUGUCAGUCAGUCCUUUUUUAUUAAAUAUUCCCCGAAGGCAACCAGGGAUAUAUAAUCUUUUGAUUAUUCCUUCAAAAGAAAGAGGAUAACAGAGUAGAGAGAGACUAGACUUUGCAAACGGGUCUGGGUCACAUCCUGGUCCCAUCACUUCCUAGCUCUGAAAUGUUGGGCAAGCGAUUUAACUUCUCUGAGCUCAGCUCCCUCCUGUGUAACGUGAGGGAUAAUAACACCACCCAGCAUCAUAAUAAGGGUUAAGUGAGAUGCGCUGUGUAACGAGGCUGGGACAGUAUAGACGUCAUCCCCUCCUCUCCCUUAGCAUCCAGAGGACAUUGCUGGUUUGCGUAGUGAUUGAAGUUCCAUGAUAACAAUCUCCAGGCGAUCCAGACUAUAGCAGCAGCUCCCCAUUACUGAGUAAGGUCUUCUCAGGCUGCUUCUGGCUUCUCAGGCUCUGAGAGCAGGAACUUGAGACUCCUGAGCCAUCUUUGAUCAUUUCACCCGUUUCCCCAAGAGGAAGUCAUCCGCCUGCUUUGGCGUGCCUUGGAUUUGCUUUCCUGGUAAGGUAGAAAAUAACCAGCCUGCCAUCUGUGGUCACGCUGAAGAUCCAGACAAGCAGAAAGUCAGGACUGCUGUGGCAUCCAAGGGGUUUUAAUUGUCCUUGAGGUUGUCCUAACUUUGGGCUCUUGCUUCCCCAUAGGCGGCCUCCCUGAUAUAAAAACUCAGCCUCAUCUCCUAGUUCCAGAAAUAAACCUACUUAAAAUGUGAGGCAGGGAGAGAAGUUGUCCAUGGACCUCAAACACCUUCAGAUUUAUGAUGGAACAUCCCUAGUUUCAAAACCCCAUACUAGGCUAUUAUCCAGUUAUUUCUACAGACUUCGAUACCUCCUUUUGGUUCCUCUCUCGCUAUUCUUUUUCCUGCCCUUUCUGAGUUUUUGCCACAAUUUUCUGUGGGGAACAAAACAGAGUUUCUCUCACUAUCUCCCUCAAGGCAUUUUAUCAUCAAAUUCUGUGGCUUUGACUAUGGGUCUCCUUCUACCCUGCAGAGCUCAUCAAAAAUUUUCAUUGAAAAGGGAUAGUUUCCCUCCUUCUGCUAUCAAUAAUCAUUAUUAAUAACAAAUUCAUCUUAUAUAUAAGUAUGAAUGGGCUUUUUUUCUUCUGCAAAAUGUACAGAAAGGGUCAUCCCAUGGAAAGGACUACAAAUGCUCUAAAAUCCCAGUGAUUAAAAACAGAAGUCCAUGGCUUCAUUU